rnacentral:misc_RNA from 1 species
GAUGAAGAACGUAGCGAAAUGCGAUAAGUAAUGUGAAUUGCAGAAUUCAGUGAAUCAUCGAAUCUUUGAACGCACAUUGCGCCCGCCAGUAUUCUGGCGGGCAUGCCUGUUCGAGCGUCAUUUCAACCCUCAGGCCCCCAGUGCCUGGUGUUGGGGAUCGGCCCAGCCUUCCUGUAAGGCCGCCGGCCCCGAAAUCUAGUGGCGGUCUCGCUGUAGUCCUCCUCUGCGUAGUAGCACGACCUCGCAGUUGGAACGCGGCGGUGGCCAUGCCGUUAAACACCCCACUUCUGAAAGUUGACCUCGGAUCAGGUAGGAAUACCCGCUGAACUUAAGCAUAUCAAUAAGCGGAGGA